UGGGGAAUAUUGCACAAUGGAGGGAACUCUGAUGCAGCGACUCCGCGUGAGUGAUGAAGGAAUUCGUUUCGUAAAACUCUGUUCUAUGGGAAGAAAAGGACUUUACCAUAUGAGAAAGCUCCGGCUAAAUACGUGCCAGCAGCCGCGGUUAUACGUAGUUUGCGAGCGUUGUCCGGAAUUAUUGGGCGUAAAGAGCUUGUAGGCGGUUUGUCGCGUCGAUAGUGUAAACACGCAGCUUAACUGUGUGCCGGCUGUCGAUACGGGCUGACUAGAGGAGGGUAGGGGAGAAUGGAAUUAACGGUGGAGCGGUGGAAUGCGCAGAUAUCGGGAGGAACAACAGUGGCGAAGGCGGUUAGCUGGAAAUUUACUGACGCUGAGAAGCGAAAGCGUGGGUAGCAAACAGG
rnacentral:rRNA from 1 species